GGGGAAUAUUGGGCAAUGGGGGAAACCCUGACCCAGCAACGCCGCGUGAAGGAAGAAGGUUUUCGGAUUGUAAACUUCUGUCCUUGGUGAAGAGAAGAAGACGGUAGCCAAGGAGGAAGCCCCGGCUAACUACGUGCCAGCAGCCGCGGUAAUACGUAGGGGGCAAGCGUUGUCCGGAAUGAUUGGGCGUAAAGGGCGCGUAGGCGGCUUUAUAAGUCUGGAGUGAAAGUCCUCUUUUCAAGGGAGGAAUUGCUUUGGAAACUAUAGAGCUUGAGUGCAGGAGAGGUUAUCGGAAUUCCCGGUGUAGCGGUGAAAUGCGUAGAUAUCGGGAGGAACAUCGGUGGCGAAGGCGGGUAACUGGACUGCAACUGACGCUGAGGCGCGAAAGUGUGGGGAGCAAACA
rnacentral:rRNA from 1 species